rnacentral:misc_RNA from 1 species
AUUAUGACUAACCAAAUUGCAAAGCUGAAUUUUGUUUAGGGAGAUUUUACUAUAUAGAAUCAUAUUUUAUAAGGACUUUCAUAUAGGGUAGAAGUAGAAUAACAAAACGAAAUGGAAUGAUCCCACUAUUUAUUUGACACUUUUAGUCAUUCCAAAAUACAUACAGCAUCAAAAGAAAAAGGAUGAAAGAAACUGUAGAUUGUGAAAGAAUUUAUUGAAUCUAAAGAUGCCCUUCUUUUUCCUAGGCUAAAGAAUCACAAACCACUUUUCUUUAGUAAAAAAGAAGUCAAUAAGUUUAAUAAGUAUCUUGAUCAGAAACUUUUGCUUCCAUCCAUGAAAUGAGCACAAAUAUGGUGCCAAAACCAACAAAGUAGAAUUAAAAAACUUAUGGAAUUCUUGGCAACAUUCAACAAAAUGAGAUAACUAAAGAGAGAUAAAUAAUUCAAAAAGGAGGCAAACCAUAUCUAAUACUAACUUUUGGAUUUGGGGAAUCCAUCUUCUUUUUGGCCUUGAGAUAAUGAACCUAAGUUCAUUCAGUUUGGCCUUUCAAGAAAUUUAACCUAUUUGGUGGUCUUCUUCACUUUUUUCAGCUAACAAAAUUGAAAAGGGAGGAGGGUACUGGGUAGGGCUGAACAGAGCAUCAGCUUCCUCCAAACCAAAUCAAGUAAAUUCCCCACUAAAACCUUCCAAAUUGAUGAUGGACUAUGAAGUUCAUGUAAUGCCCAGUGCUAAGAAAGAGUAAGGACUGUCAGUGUAGAAAACACACACUCACUUGCAAGCUUAUGAUUUUUGAUCAAUCUAGGAACACCUUAUGCUUAUUGUGAAAUACAUCAGCCCUAGGGUGGUCCAAAAUUACAAAUCCUAGUUGGCAAAAGUUGCAACACCCUUUACAUAUUACCAAUUUACUGUUGAUUUAUGCAUUUUGGAUCAUGUCUAAACAUUCACGUAGUUCAAUUUACCAUUUCCCAAAUUAUUAUUUUUUAUUAACUUAUAUUGGGAUAUGUUACCUAAUAAUUAAUACUUUCUUCAAUAUAUAUACUUUUAAACUUUGAUUUUUGUCCAUAAUUUUACCAAUUUUACUUGAAAGGAAUAAGUCAUGCAACUUAUUCAACGAAAUACCCUCUUUAAUUCAUGAAUUAAAUCUAUCUAUAUCCAUUUAUUCCAUUAGAAUUCAAUUCUCCAGUCAAACAACAGACAACCACACACACACACACACACA